CUUGCCUCCUCCCAGGUCCCCACAUUGAAAAACAGCUAAUAAGACAGUUACAUGCUUGUGCACCAUUCAAAUAGACAGGGUGAUUUGACUUCUGGUGAGGACAUGGGCUGAAAAGAAUUCCAUUAUAAAUUCCACCGGUAGCCAGCAGAUCCAUCUGUCCAUCUGCAUUACUGUCAGCAGAUCCAUGGCAGGAAAAUCUGAUAGGAAAAAGAGCUUCUACUUUUCAAAGUAUACGUAGCCAUCAGACGUGCACAGAUCUUUUUGAAACAAUAAAGGAAAAGACUUUUAUCAACUUUCUAAUUUUUGGAAAAUAUUACAAAUCUCAUCAGAUCCUGGGUCAAUCUGAUAUAUUCUUUAAUGGAUUAAAAUAAUAAAUACAUAUAAAAUUGUCACCCUAAACA